rnacentral:lncRNA from 1 species
AAAAUGUGCUCUGAAUGCCAUCGAGUGCUUAAAUGAUUUUAAAAAACUAGUCUUUUAUUUGUUUUCUAAAAUAUUAUUUGAACAGUAAAUGCAAACAGACAACACAAUAUACCAUUGGAUAUUAUUAGUUUGUACAAUUUGACUAAUUCAUUCGGGCAGGAAUAGUCACAUGCUUUAAAAUUGGAUUUUUAAAGAUUUAUUGAAAAUGGUGGAUAGAAAUGUGAUAUUACACGGCUAUUUUUAGAUUGACUAAAAACGAUAUACUUUGUGAC